ACCAAGAGUCAAUUGCGUUUGAUCAAGCAUCGUCCCUGCGUCAUCGUCUGAGCCACGUCUUCAUGCCGUCUAGCCAAAGCCUGGUGGCCGAAGUGGUCCUGGUGGUGGACGCCAUCGAAGCCAACGGCAAAACCGAAUCCAG